rnacentral:rRNA from 1 species
UGGGGAAUCUUGGACAAUGGGGGCAACCCUGAUCCAGCCAUGCCGCGUGAGCGAUGACGGCCUUAGGGUUGUAAAGCUCUUUCACCGGUGACGAUAAUGACGGUAGCCGGAGAAGAAGCCCCGGCUAACUCCGUGCCAGCAGCCGCGGUAAUACGGAGGGGGCUAGCGUUGUUCGGAAUUACUGGGCGUAAAGGGCGUGUAGGCGGUUUGUCUAGUCAGGCGUGAAAGCCCCGGGCUCAACCUGGGAACUGCGUUUGAUACUGGCAGGCUAGAGGAUGGAAGAGGAGAGUGGAAUUCCCAGUGUAGAGGUGAAAUUCGUAGAUAUUGGGAAGAACACCAGUGGCGAAGGCGGCUCUCUGGUCCAUACCUGACGCUGAGGCGCGAAAGCGUGGGGAGCAAACAGGAUUAGAUACCCGCGUAGUCC